UCAUUUUUUUCAAAAAUACAUCUGGAAAUGAACCAGUUUCUUAACCAAUCAAUUUAUUUUGUUGCUUCAUGUGGACCUUGUUUACUGUGAUUAACAUUGUUUCUUACAGCUAGAAGCAACAACCUUUAAAAAAAUGGAGUCAAAUCUGCACUAUGAGCCUGUACAAUAUACAUGAUUGUAUAGUUAGAGUUACUCUGUCUUACCCGCCUCCCCUUCCCAGGUGCCUUGGAAACCUAGUAAUCAUGUUGAUAGUUAGUGAUCUACCGCCACUGCUGUGUAAGCUGUGAGUCAAUACCACAGAGACCGCUCGCUUGACUCAUACCAUCAGCAAUCAUUCUCUCUGCAUGCCUAAAAACAACACACACACACACACACACAUACAUACACAGGGUACUUGCCCUUGUUAGCGCAUUAUGGGAUGUGUUAGCAUGUUUGCUCCCUGUCCAUGCUUGGUUGGACACUUUUGACAACAGUUGUUGUGGCUUUCCCUGAUGUUUGUCUUGCAGCUGCCUAUAGGCCACAGUCAGAUCACACAGGCCACACUGCUAUGGUAAACAGAAAAGUGACAGAAGGACUGGAAGAGGAGAGAAGAAGAGAAGAGAAGAGAAGAGAGAGAAGAGAAGAGAAGAUGGUGACCUAUUCGUUCAGCAGAGGAAAGGUUAUCUGUGACAGCUGGAAAGACAGAACUGGGCCAGAUAUGGAGUCCGGCACACGGCAAGUCAGACCACCCAUGACUAGGACACGUUCAGACACCCCUCCAACAGCUCAUCCUAUCCACCCCCCACCCCCCUCUUCUUCAACUGGAACAAGUUGGCCCCCCUCUCACUCCCUGCGUUCUCUCAGUUGUUUCAGCGGCGUUGGAGCCACUGGAGGGGGAGGGGGGGGGGGGUAAGAGCUGAGCGAAAGCCAGAGAGACAGAGAGAGAGACAGAGAGCACACUUUGACCACUGAUGUGCUGGACAGAAUUAUGAAUGCAUCACUGCUGAAGUUUUCCAUAGGUGAAGUAGGCCAGUGCACAGCUGUUAAAUCCUAACAUUGUGGUCGAGUAUGGUUCCGAUUGCAGACAAAUUAUCGAAUAUUCCACAAGUUUCCUAUUCAUAUUCCUCUUUUACAUCACUCCAAAUGCUAGGUCAUACAGAAAAUGUCACUGUAAUGGAGCUAAUAAAUACAAAUGUUGAUUAUAACUGACUGUAACAGCAGCAGUAAGUGCACAUUUCUCUCAUGCAUAUGAAUAAAUGCAAGCAGUCUGAUUAUUGUUA